UGGCAUGCCUCGCCGGCUAAUCAAACGACAACGUCUCUAAUUACCUUAAACGAUGUCGUUUUCCACGAUUUUAAGCAAAUUACAAUUUCUAGUUUUAUAUAUUUGUCGAUUAGGGCUUCAAAUGUCCUCAUUUCUUCUCCCAAAUUUUCUCAUCUCAGUUGAAAUUCUUGUUCCAUAAAUUCUCAUUUGCAGCAAAAAUCUUUGAACUGAUGGAUUCUUCUUCUCAAACGGGACGACUGAGCUCAUACAAUUUCCCCUUACCUCCAAAAUUCUGCAGAUGCGAAGAACCAGAGCCGUGNCUCAUUUGCAGCAAAAAUCUUUGAACUGAUGGAUUCUUCUUCUCAAACGGGACGACUGAGCUCAUACAAUUUCCCCUUAAUUACCUCCAAAAUUCUGCAGAUGCGAAGAACCAGAGCCGUGCAUCUUGCAGGCUUCAAAUAGUGUGACUAAUCCGGAGAGGCGCUACUUCUCAUCAUGUACAAAAACA
rnacentral:lncRNA from 1 species